UAGAUAUCUGAUAAAUCCG
rnacentral:misc_RNA from 1 species